rnacentral:rRNA from 1 species
AUUGAACGCUGGCGGCAGGCCUAACACAUGCAAGUCGAGCGGAUGAAGGGAGCUUGCUCCUGGAUUCAGCGGCGGACGGGUGAGUAAUGCCUAGGAAUCUGCCUGGUAGUGGGGGAUAACGUCCGGAAACGGGCGCUAAUACCGCAUACGUCCUGAGGGAGAAAGUGGGGGAUCUUCGGACCUCACACUAUCAGAUGAGCCUAGGUCGGAUUAGCUAGUUGGUGGGGUAAAGGCCUACCAAGGCGACGAUCCGUAACUGGUCUGAGAGGAUGAUCAGUCACACUGGAACUGAGACACGGUCCAGACUCCUACGGGAGGCAGCAGUGGGGAAUAUUGGACAAUGGGCGAAAGCCUGAUCCAGCCAUGCCGCGUGUGUGAAGAAGGUCUUCGGAUUGUAAAGCACUUUAAGUUGGGAGGAAGGGCAGUAAGUUAAUACCUUGCUGUCUUGACGUUACCAACAGAAUAAGCACCGGCUAACUUCGUG